GUGGGGAAUCUUGCGCAAUGGGCGAAAGCCUGACGCAGCCAUGCCGCGUGAAUGAUGAAGGUCUUAGGAUUGUAAAAUUCUUUCACCGGGGACGAUAAUGACGGUACCCGGAGAAGAAGCCCCGGCUAACUUCGUGUCAGCAGCCGCGGUAAUACGAAGGGGGCUAGCGUUGCUCGGAAUUACUGGGCGUAAAGGGCGCGUAGGCGGACAGUUUAGUCAGAGGUGAAAGCCCAGGGCUCAACCUUGGAAUUGCCUUUGAUACUGGCUGUCUUGAGUACGGGAGAGGUGAGUGGAACUCCGAGUGUAGAGGUGAAAUUCGUAGAUAUUCGGAAGAACACCAGUGGCGAAGGCGACUCACUGGCCCGUUACUGACGCUGAGGCGCGAAAGCGUGGGGAGCAAACAGGAUUAGAAACCCUGGUAGUCC
rnacentral:rRNA from 1 species